CUUAACUGAACCAUAACAUAACCCUGCUACCUGAACACAUUCACCCCAUGAAAAAUCUGGAAGAUUUCACAAGUCAAUAUGUGUAAAAUGUAUUGCUUUUCUAAUCUGAUUCUUGGGGGACUGGUUAGUGUGUUUGCCUUGCACCUCCAGGGUUGGGGAUUUGAAUCCCACCUCCACCCUGUGUGCACAGAGUUUGCAUAUUCUCUCCGUGCUUUAGGGGUUUCCGCCAGAUACUCGGAUUUCACCUCCACCAGUCCAAAGCUAUGCAUUGUAGGCUGACUGGCAUGUCCAAAUUGUCCAAAGUGAGUGAAUUGGUUUGUGAUUAUGUGUGUGAUUGUGCGCUGCAAUGGACUGGCACCACGUCCAGGGUGUCCCCCACCUUGUGCCCAGAGUUCAAUGACUUUUGGUAGACGGCAUCCUCAAGGCAUGAGUCAUGGUUGUUCCAUAUUCUUUCCACUUUUACAAAAUGGAUUAAAAUGUUGCUCUGCAGUGCUUGAAGUUUUUCUGAAGGAUUUCUUUUAGAACCAAACCCUGAUUAUUACUGUCCCAGAACUUUAUCCCAAACUUAUUUUGAUAGCUUUUCGAUCUUCAUAUUGCUGUUUGUUUAGGUAGGUUUUCUGACAAAUUCUGGGGUCUUCCCAAAAGUGCAAGAUGGGUGAAUACUUAUGCAAGCCACGGUACACCAGCUGCUAUGGGCAGCUACAUGGAAACAUGUUGGAAGAUAGUGUACAUUCCAGACUGUUUCAGUAGAUAUCUUCAGCCAGGUUUGCAUUAAGCUGCAAAGCUGGCAUUCUGCCAGUAUCCAUCUGCUGGAGCUAUGAAUUAAUAUGUGUGUGUGUGUGUGUGUGUGUGUGUGUGUGUGUGUCUGUGUGUGUGUGUGUAAUGAUCUGGAAAAAUGUACCUGCAGUCAAACACAAGCUGCAGUAAGGUUCUGGAUAUAUAAAAAAUAGAUCAUUGGAAUCAUCAAUCAAA